rnacentral:rRNA from 1 species
AUUUCCGAAUGGGGGAACCCAACAUGAGUUAUGUCAUGUUAUCGACAUGUGAAUUCAUAGCAUGUCAGAAGGCAGACCCGGAGAACUGAAACAUCUUAGUACCCGGAGGAAGAGAAAGAAAAAUCGAUUCCCUGAGUAGCGGCGAGCGAAACGGGAAGAGCCCAAACCAACAAGCUUGCUUGUUGGGGUUGUAGGACACUCUAUACGGAGUUACAAAAGAACAUGUUAGACGAAUCAUCUGGAAAGAUGAAUCAAAG